rnacentral:rRNA from 1 species
UACGAAGGGGGCUAGCGUUGCUCGGAAUCACUGGGCGUAAAGCGCACGUAGGCGGAUCUUUAAGUCGGGGGUGAAAUCCUGGAGCUCAACUCCAGAACUGCCUUCGAUACUGGGAAUCUUGAGUCCGAGAGAGGUGAGUGGAACUCCGAGUGUAGAGGUGAAAUUCGUAGAUAUUCGGAAGAACACCAGUGGCGAAGGCGGCUCACUGGCUCGGUACUGACGCUGAGGUGCGAAAGCGUGGGGAGCAAACAGG